rfam:Mycoplasmataceae bacterium RC_NB112A Contig_4, whole genome shotgun sequence.
GAAGCGGUGCCUGAGCGGUCAAAAGGGCCUCACUGCUAACGAGGUGGCUUUUAGCCGCGUGAGUUCAAACCUCACUCGCUUCG